rnacentral:rRNA from 1 species
GUGAACGCUGGCGGUAGGCCUAACACAUGCAAGUCGAACGGCAGCACAGUAAGAGCUUGCUCUUACGGGUGGCGAGUGGCGGACGGGUGAGGAAUACAUCGGAAUCUACUUUUUCGUGGGGGAUAACGUAGGGAAACUUACGCUAAUACCGCAUACGACCUACGGGUGAAAGCAGGGGAUCUUCGGACCUUGCGCGAUUGAAUGAGCCGAUGUCGGAUUAGCUAGUUGGCGGGGUAAAGGCCCACCAAGGCGACGAUCCGUAGCUGGUCUGAGAGGAUGAUCAGCCACACUGGAACUGAGACACGGUCCAGACUCCUACGGGAGGCAGCAGUGGGGAAUAUUGGACAAUGGGCGCAAGCCUGAUCCAGCCAUACCGCGUGGGUGAAGAAGGCCUUCGGGUUGUAAAGCCCUUUUGUUGGAAAAGAAAAGCAGCAGGUUAAUACCCCGCUGUUCUGACGGUACCCAAAGAAUAAGCACCGGCUAACUUCGUG